AGGCACAGGAAGUUGCCUGGAGUGAGUGGGGAGGGGCGCGGGGGCGAGGGGCUGCAGACGCUAAAGCUUCCGCUUAACAAACGUGGAUAGCGCUUCCGCUCAAGCCGUCGCUGCUGGCUUCUUCGUCUCGGUGAGUUCUAUAGAUACCUCUUCACGUGGCUUGGGUAAGGGAGUCACAUGCCCCUCUUUUUAAGGUAGGAAACACUGACAAAAUGUAGUUUUUGAAAACCCUAAAUACA
rnacentral:lncRNA from 1 species